rnacentral:pre_miRNA from 1 species
CAAAUACUCCCUCCGUCCGGAAAUACUUGUCAUCAAAAUGGAUAAAAGGAAAUGUAUCUAAACGUAUUUUAGUUUUAGAUACAUCUCUUUUUAUCCAUUUUGAUGACAAGUAUUUUCGGACGAAGGGAGUAGAAA